ensembl:lncRNA
AUUGAACCCAUUGACUCCUGUGGAGUGUGGUGUGCAGACAAUUUUUUAACCCUAAUUGCUCAUGUUUUGGAGUCUAAAUAAUUAUACCUAAAUCCUGUAAUCACCAUGUAACUUGCUCAGGGACACAUCAUCACUCAGCUAGGAGAGAUGGGGAUCGAACCAGCAACCCUUCGGUUACUAGACAACUGCUCUACCUCCUGAGCUAAACGAGCCCAGCCACCUCUCCGCUGAUUUAUUACCUCCGGGUCGGCCCGCAUCCGCCCUUUUUGCUUUCUAUACAUUCCUCUCCCUUCUCCAAACACCUUCUCUCUCUGAUCCAACCCGUUGUCUCACCAGUGCUCUGUGUACCAAGAUGUAAUGAUAUAUACCACAUGGUGUUCCGACGCGAUGCAGAGUCUCCAAGAACCACAGAAUCACCGAUCCCAGUGGUGGUUCUACUUUUUUUCUAAAACAUAGUCCUCCGUCAACAUGCUUCGUUGGUUCAUUUUGGUAAGGUAACUAUGAAGCAGAAGGGAGGGAAUUUGGCGCCCCUAGUGGCAACUUUUUUUAACAUUGGAAAACACCUAAAAGCGUUGCCAUGGGAACAGGGAGAGGGGCGUGGGAAUAUGAACCCUAUGGGGUGGUAGCUAUGGAUCAGGGCUACGUUCCCACAGAAAGUGUCUAGGAGCACGUUUCAGGCCAAUUUGAGUCGUUUGCUAAUGGGUUAGGGUUAGGUUAAGGGCAACCUACCACUUUUCUAAAACGUUUUUUUGGACCUAGCUCGGGCAAACAGCGGGGCGUGGGAAUUCCGAGACCACACUCGGAUAGCUCUAGCCCCAGCGGACUUUUUUGGUCCUGGUGAACCCUCGGCAUAGCCACUAAUGUAGGCUAGGGUGCGAAAAUUUGAAACUGGCUAAAAGGCGUAAAUACUAAGUCCCGGGUGCACCCUCGGCCUAGUCCCUAAUGUGGGCGAUAUUUUAGAAAUUGGCAAAUUCCUGUGUUCCAUACACCUCACAACCCCAGGAAAUGCUAAAACAAUUACAAAAUAACCUGCACCUCAAGAAAAUAGUACCAGGUAUUUUAACAUUGUUUAGUUUUAAAUAAAGCAAAAAAACUUACCUCAGAGUAGUCCUCCGUCUUCGUUGGUUCAUUUUGGUAUGGUAACUAUGAAGCAGAAGGGAGGGAAUUGUAUCUAACGCGUGUGAGAGAAAUACCGUAGAGCUACUUCGAGCCCCAGGCUCUCUGCGGGUCUGGCUAACAGCUCUGCACUCCAAUCUCUCUGUCGAGCUUGAUAGGGUCAAGUGGGCGUGGCCGGUGCGACGUAAUAGUUCCUCCCUCCACGCUUGUCUAAAGGUGCUGCCAUCUGUGGCCGGAGUAGUUAUUGCAGCUUAUGUGUUCGAUCCUGCUUCCUAGUGGCUAUGUGAGGGUUAUGCAGCUUGUCUGUUCGAACCUGCUUCCCAGCGGCUAUGUGGGGGCAGCUUAUGUGCUUAAAAUACGUAACAAUAUCAUUCUAAACAAAUACAAAAUGGUCACCAAGGUCAAGGCCACCCUCCCCACACCACACUCUACAAACAUUAUCCGAGAGCGCCCCAUAUUGGACAUAAAGUAUAACUUUGCAACCGUUAAGUAAAUACGAUCUCAUUCUAAAUAAGUACAAAACGGUUACCAAGGUCAAGACCCCCCUCCCCACACCACACUCUACAGACAUUAUUCGAGAGCGCCACCUAUUGGACAAGGAUGCAAUUCAGGUCUAUAAGUAACAAGACAAGAAAAUACAAUUCACAAUAAGUGCUUUUGGUCUGUCAUAUUUUGCAUAUUGUAAUGUAAUAAUAAUUAUAACAUAACAAAGGGUUCUCGUCUUCAUUUCCGACGAGAACGGCCGGUCAAAAGCGUUGAUUUCACGGGGAUUCGAUCCGACGCUUUGGGUGUCUCUGUUGUCGUUCGCUGAUUGCUGGGUUGUAAAAAAAAAGAAGUUCUUUAUCGACGCGACGAGUGACGUGGGUUUUUUUCCUCUUUUCUGUCGGAUAAAUAAAGAGAAGAACGUUUCUUAGCCACGUUAUAGGAAGGUUACCGUUCUUCACUAUCGGGGUCCAGCCCGCGGCGCAGCCGCAGGACGGUCCCCUUUGGCGCCCCCUUCCGGCCACCGCACCUCUGUCCCGUCCCGGUCCCGGCGGGCACCUCGGACCGGGAAUUCGUCCGGUCCAACCGACGGUUCGGGGUCGAAAUUGGAACGCAUCGUCGGCUUUAAGCAGAGGCCGAAAUCGGAACGACCGGAACGAAACGGAACGCACAGGGUCAGGUCGGGACACGGGUGGAAACGCCCAUGUCGAGGGACCGGUGCCGUUAUAAACAAGCAUUGUCUAAUUCAACCUGUGUCCGUUAAACAAGCGUUUGUCUAAUUCAACCUGUGUCCGUUAUUGCAAUACAUCGCUUGUUUAUCAAAGAAGGCUUUAUUUUCAAUGCAUUUGUUUAUUAAAGAAUGGCUUUAUAUUCAAUGUAUUGCUUAUUAAAGAAGGCUUUGUUUUCAAUGUGAUUGUUUCUUAAAGAAUGGCUUUAUUUCGAGACGCUUUUAAUGUAUUGCUUUUUUAUUAUUCAACUAAACAAAACAUUUGUUAUCAUUGUUGUUGUGGACUUGUUGCUUAAACUAAAAAGAAGGGACAAGCGUGUGUAAUACAAAUAGAUUUAUUAAAUAACAACAAGCACAACACAGGAGGGGGGUUCCCGGGGAGGAGCAGCCUCACACUCUGCCGGGGCUGUGUUCCUCUCCAAGGUCUGACGCCGGGCCCUUCACCCUCCUCUCCUCCCGCUGCUUCCUCUGCUUCCUGGUGAACGGAUUUCAACGUCGAAUUUUAGUUCUUUAGGUAAAUGCAAGCAGUUUACUUCGAAACACAUUCAGAAACAAUCAAUUCACCUCUUUGGCUUUCGCCUCUUGCGGUCCCUCCUCUCGGCCAGCCACAGGUCUACGCCUUUGCCGACGUAGAGGGAGCAGAAACUCUCCCCCUCUUACCGACUAUGGCCAAAGUCUUUCUGCGCCGGCUGGAGGCACCGCUGGUAGAUCUGCAGCUAGUGCGGUUUGCGUCCAGGGGAAGAGGAGCCGCCGACCUGCCCCUCCUUCCUGCGGGCGAUGUUCCACAGGGUGGUCCUGGGCACCUUCCCGGCGUCCUCCAGGGCCUGUUGGCUGAUGAGCCACUCACGAGCGGUGAGGCACCCAGGGCCCGCCUCCGACUCGCAGUACACGCUGCUCUUGUAGAGCGCGUGCCCCGUGUCCAGGGUCCUGGGUUGGGCGCACGUGGGGCAGGGGUCCCCCGUCUGGCAUUGGGGCUUCCCCUUUUGCUCCUCCAGCACCCGGGUGUCCUGCCUCAGGUGAGACUUGAAGCGUGGCGCCCCCCUGUGCUUCCUCUUUGAUGGAAGAGGAGGAGGAGGAGCAGCAGCGCUGUCGGACUCUGAACACAAGGGACUUGUAGGUCCGGUGUGAGUGCACCCUGAACCACACCCGCGCGUCGCCCAGCCCCCUGGUAGACACGGAGCCCUCGCACAACCUACGCCUGGCGACGGCCUUCACCAUGGGUCGAAACAGCCCGGCGUUGGAGGCAUCAGAGGUGCGAAGGGGGUGAGCUCAGAGGAAGGGGGUUCGAACCGGAAACGGGGAACAAAAGACAUUUCCUGAAAGACAAGAAGAAACAAAACAAGUCAGUCAAGUGUAUUAAAAUGUACUAAUUGGGUGUUAAGAUAACAAUGUUGAUAUCAAUGUUAAUGUCAGGAGAUCAGCCCAUUAGGCAGGCCCGCCGCUCCCUAUACGCAGAGUGCUUAGCUCACCAAGUACCUGGGGGGGACUCAAUUUCGGCAAAUUAGAGGUUUUUACCCAAUAUAUAAAAAGAGGCCUAUAACCAUUAGGGGUGUUAGGGUAAUACUGUUAUUGUCAAUAGAACAUUAGGUUUAGCCUGAGAGUGACCUGUUGCCCUCCACCCACUCUUAACACCUCUCAUUUGCAAAUCACGGUUGCA